rnacentral:lncRNA from 1 species
AUUGACUGCCAAACCUAUGGAUGCGAGAUGGGUACAGUUCGUGAUACUAGAUGGAAUGGUUCCCUCAAGAAGAUUGUUAUUCAUGGUCAGAUUUUCGAGGUUAUGAAGCAACCCAAUGUUUGAUGGAAGCUUCCCUGUUAAGGAAUUGAAGCUCAUUGACAAAUAUGUUAAAUUUGUCAGGUUUGUCAAUGAAGAAGGGAUCUCCCCAGUGAACUUAUUGGAAUGUAGGGUCAAUACUCGUAAUGACCUUAGAGAUCCUAGCUCAAGGGGUAAUGUUCCAGUCAACUCAUUCUCGGAGAGGCCUAAACGAGUUAAAGAUUUCAGCUGGAACAAAGAAAUUGGGAUUGUGGAAUUCAAUCUAUUUUCGUGUAGAUGCAUUGAUUGUAAGCUAGCCAAAUUUCCAAGCUCAGAGGGAAUGCUUCCCGUGAGCUGAUUGGUGUACAGUUCAAGGGCGAGAAGCUUUCUAAAAUUGCCUAAUUGGGACGGGAUUCUUCCUCCAAUAGAAUUUUCAAAUAACUGAAGAUAUUCUAAGUUUGACAGGUUUCCUAUUUCUAGAGGUAUUGUUCCCGACAUGUUCUGACUCACAUCUAAAGCUUGCAAGGCUUCUAAUCUACCCAUGGAAACUGGAAUUGAACCUACAAGCUUGUUGUGGUAUGCUACAAACAUUUGAAGGCUUAUCAAAUUUCCGAUGUCUUUUGGGAUUGUACCAGUAAGAUUGUUGAAAAUGAGACCAAGCGCUAACAAGGAAGUACAGUUGCAAACGCUUUCUGGUAUGCUUCCCUUCAAGAAGUUAUUUCCUAAGUCCAUUGCUUGCAGAUUCUGAAGGGAUCCUAUUUCUGGUGGAAUGGAACCCGAAAGAGAAUUAUAGUAUAGAGUUAGUUCACCAAGCUGGGAGCAUUGCCCCAGCUGAGCCGGAAUACUCCCAGAGAAUGAAUUCAAAGAUAAAUCGAGAACCUGGAGGGCUGAAAGGUUGCCAAGGAAUGGAGAUAUCUGGCCUUGGAGCUGCUUGUCGACGAGUUUAAUGGCAAUGACAUGGUUUGACGAAUGGUCACAGGUGAUUCCAGACCAGUUGCAGUGAUGAAUUUGAUUUGUGCCAUUCCAAUCAGCAAGUGCUCCUAAAGGGUCGCCGGUGAUGCCAUUCUUAAAGGCCUUCAAGGCUUCAGUUUCCACUUCUUCUAAGCUUCGUUCUGCAGGUGAUAAUGCAACAGUGGAAAAGAGAGAAAAAAAUAUGACUACGAUUAAGCUUAAGCUGACUGUUUGAGACUCCAUUUGCGAGAUGUGAAAGUUUGUAAUGAAGGGGGAAAGUUAUAUAGAAAUGUUAAAUCAUAUCAAACGGUCCCGUUAGUGACAGAAUAUGUCAAGCUAAUCACAUGGGUUCUUUGAACCUUAGGCUCAAUUUCUCCUAAUGUUUGACUUUGAGCUCUACACAUGAUGACAAAGAACUAUUGGCCAUUAUCUAGAAGAGAUAGAUACCGCCAACGUUUAAUAUAAACAUUACGAAACUAUGAGGGAAAUUUACACCAAUAGCCAUAAAAAUUUUGACUUUUUUUAAAAUAACCCCCCAAACAAAUUUCUAUCAACAUUAGCCAUAAAAGAUCAUUUGAGACCAAAAUACCCCUCUAUCUCAUCUCUCCUCCAACACUCUCUUUCACCCAUUUCUCCCAAACCCAAGAAACUCCCAUCAUCGGCGGCAACAAGUAAAUCAGCAGGAAUAGAAAAUUUCGAGCUGGAGUUAAACAUAAAACAAAUUAAAAAAAAAAAACAGAAUAUAACGACACACAAAUUAGGUAAAAAAUGAAAUUCUUUGUGGAACUUUUUUUGCAAGCAUUAUAAUCCUAACUCUGUUAAGAUCUUUCGGACAAAUAAAGGCAUAAUGCGACCAUUAACAAUUAAAAUGCCCUCCAGAAAAUACAAGCACUGUAUGCUUGUACACUGAAGACUAUCCUCUUAUCCAAUUUGAAAGUCACAGGAAACGUAAUACAAUCAAAGUAAUCUCGUGCAUGGCAGUAAUAAAAAAAAAAAAAAAAAAACAAGAGUCAGCGAAGCCAUAGUGAACGCAGAAAGCUUAAUAAAGAGAGCAGUUGUCAGUACUCUAACAGUAACUGGGCAACCAUUCAUUGCCUUCAAAUGUGUUCUAACACACUAACAACAAACAAGAAUUGGAACCGAGAUAUUAAAGAAAAAUAAAUCAGAAUCAUACAAAUCAUACAGCCAGAGCUUUAAUUCCCAACAUCAAUAGAACAAAAUUAGAAAAAAAUAAGAAAGAAAUAAAACCCAGAUGAUAAAUUAACAUAACUCUUUAUGUAACCAAUUCGUAAUCUUGCAACUCAGACUAGAAUUUCAAAACUCAAAAUUGAUACAACACCGAGACUGGGAUGGCAGUCCAAAUUUGAAUGGUACUCAGCCUGUGUGCUACCACCACGCUUGUUCGCUCCACCAUCAGACGCUCAAGUGCUUCCUGCACCACUUUCUCCGACUGACUAUCAAGUGCGCUGGUCGCCUCAUCUAACAAUAACACUGCAGGAUUUUUUAAUAUGGCACGAGCUAUUGCAAUGCGUUGCUUUUGGCCUCCAGACAGCUGCAAUCCCCUGUCUCCACACCACGUGUCGUAACCUUCAUACAAUCCAACUAUAAAAUCAUGUGCAUUGGCUGCCUUUGCGGCUUCAAUGAUCUCUGAUUCGUCGAUUUUAUCAGAUGCUCCGUAUGUGAUGUUUUCUCUGAUGGUACAUGCAAACAGAGCAGGCUCUUGACUAACAAAUUAUCAGGAAUGGGCCCCUUUAGUUGAUUCGAACUGACAUCAAGAGUGACCAAUCUCGGAGAGAUCUCCAGUAGAGAAGGCAAGGUGCCUGUUACAGAAUUAUUAGUCAAUAGAGAAGAAGCUCCUUGUAUGUGCAAUAGAGAAGAGAAUUUAGAGGCCUCCCCAAAUACUAAAACUUGGUGCGACAGGCACCUGUCGCACCAAGUUUUGGUGCGACAGGCUGCUUGUCGCUCUAAGUCUUGGUGCGACAGGCAGAGCUUGGUGCGACAGGCGCCUGUCGCACCAAGACUUAGAGCGACAAGCAGCCUGUCGCACCAAGCUUCGUGCGACAGGCAGCCUGUCGCCAGAUUCACCAACGACGCAGUUCACUGAAACUUUCGAGCAAGUUCAGAAAAUAACUCAUACCACUAUGUGAUGCCGAUUAGUGUUGGAUCCAGAUAGAUUAUGAUUGGAUUUCACUUUUAUUGUUGCCUUUUGCCGUCGCCGUUGGUUGAUGAUUCAAGAGUGGAAAGCUGCCUUUGGUUUCACGGAAGGGGAGAAAGAAAGUUGCUUUUGGUUUGUAAAGAAGGGUAAUUUGGGGAGAAAAGCAUGUGUUUGGCUAAUGUUGAUAGAAAAAAGUUGAGAGGAUUAAUUGUGAAAAUAACAAAAGUUUUAUGGUUAUUUUUGUAAAUUUCCCAAACUAUGACCGUCCACUCAUAGAGAUUUAAUACGUAUUACGUUUAUACAAUAAACAAGUGUUAGUAGCAAUCUUAUUCUUGUACAAGAUCGAGCAAUUGGGUCAUAAUUAAAUCAUAUAAUUUUUAUGCUUGAUGCGGCAGUUACAGACUUGCAGAGUGACCCAUUGAUAUGCGAGUCCCAAAAAACGGCUAGAAAAAUUAUGGGGUUGAUUCUGCGUUUCUAACUCGCGAUUUGGUCACGACAAUAAGGCAAAAUGAUAGCAGAUUCUUCUUCUUUUACGUGAUGAUUUUGAUACUGCCGACGUGUUCGGGAGGGGCCCAUUUUUAUAACCUAUAUCUUGAUUUGUUUCAUUUUUUUUUUUUAAUUUUCCUUGAUUCGUUUGAUUGGAUGCGAAGCCAUUGGUUUGAUUUGAUUAGUUUUGUUUGGGAGAGAUACUGUUUGGGAUAAAUACGUCGACGAGACCAGGAAUGACGAGCAGAUAUCUGAUGGCGGAGUUCUGCGAACCGGGGUGUUCCGUAAAAGCCUGGUGCGCGGAAGAACAGGAGCAAAGAUAUCCUGCUCGUCCACGAUGUUGUCAUCCGCAAGGCCAAUUCCCUAUAAAAGGCAUAAGGCCAUUCCGGCUAGAGGUCAAGAGGCGAGGAGACCCGGUCGACGGCAGUUGGCAGGACGUGCUCUCCAGCACGAGAAUCUAGGCACAACAGCCACGCUUCCCCCAGAACCGUGGCGUAACACGCAAGAUCUCACAGAACCAUGACAGCCACGCUUUCCCCAGAACCGUGGCGUAACACGCAAAGUCUCACAGAGCCAUGACAGCCACGCUUUCCCCUGAACCGUGGCGUAACACGCUAGAUCCCACGUUUGCCCAUAACGCAGCAGUUGAAGUCCCAUACCGUCUGGAAAAGAGCGGAAGACUGAGAUUCAGAGGAAGCCUAUAAAAAGGCAGCCAACGAAGGUAAAAGGGUUGGCAUUUUUGAGAUAGAAGAAAAAACCACGAAAAAGCCCUAAGACCUGUGGCAAGCGUUCCCUGAACCUUCAUAUCUGACUUGAGCGUCGGAGGGUUUGCGCCGGGGGAACAACCGGCGUACUCUGACUUGUCUGUUUGUGCAGGGACAUCUGGAGAAGAAGCAUUACUAGGAGACCUCCUGGUCGUGGUGAAGUUGAUCGAGCAGAGAUCCUGGUCGUGGAACGAGGAGAACCGGAAUCUCGCAUCAACAAGUUUGAUGGCUUGCAAGUUGAAAUUGAGUGGAAGUUUUUGAAACAAUGGGCUUUUGUAUUCGUAUAAGUGAAGAGUUGUAAUAACAAGGGUGGUGGGGUUUCUUUCAACCAUUAAAACAAUACUUUCAACGCCUUCCAUGAUACCGAAAAUAAUUUCAAUAUGAUUUUUAUCUUCAUACAAGUUAUUACCAAGCACCCACGGAACUCUAUUAACUCGUGAUUUUCAUUUUCUUGAAUUGAACUUUCAUAAACUUGGCAAUCACACAAUCAGAAAACACGGCAACAAUUGAUACCAACAUAGAAUUGUUAAUUUUACGUUGAAAUGUUAAAUCACAGGAGUCAAAUUAGGAUGCUGUCAAGUGUUUCCUGUCCUAGAUGCUGAUGCAUGGACUUAAAAAUCUCAUUUCUUUUAUUUGAUUCCUCUCUUUGAUCUUUUGUUUGGUAUAUUAUCCUGCUUGUGUAAUGGAUCCAUGAAAAGUUGGGCCUCAGAGCGCGCAGCCAUUCUCUAUCAGCAUGUGACAUCAUUCAAUUAGCCUCUCGCACCGGAAUCUCUGACUGGAUUGCUGCUGCCUGCACAAAAGCACUGGAAGUACGUUACUUUUUGUUCUGACGCCUUUCUUCAUACAUAUAUUUUGUCUUUUGCUCUAUGUGUUCUUCAUUUAAUAUGUUCUGUUAGCCUUUCUGAUUUCAAAAUCCUUAAUUUCGGGAAACUGAUGAAAUCAAGAUUUUAUAAUCCUUCAGGACUUCUGUUACAUUCUUAUUAUUUUAUUCAAUUUGGGAACUAGUGCCAUUAUCUGUGGUUAUAUCUUGUUUUCUGCUCAAUUUGUCACGUUGGCCAUGGCAAGAGGACCCAGUAGAACUAGAUGAUCUGACUAGGGAUGGCAAUGGAGAGGGGAGGGGAGGGGACCAAUCUUCUUAUACCUAUUCUCGAUAUUUUGCAUAUGUCUCCGUCCCGUUCCCGUUAGAAUUACUUGAAAGAAUCUAUAUCCCCUCCUCAAAUAAUAACAGGGGAUCCCCAAGGGUCCACGAUCCCCGAAUAAUUAAUACAUUUUUUGUUUUCGAUUUUGAGUUAAUCAUAUUAAAAUAAAAAAUUCAAAUAAAAGUAAAGUUUGAAAUAUAUCUUACAUUAAUAUCCAUUACAAAAGUCACAUACAUUAAAUUAGUAAGUAACGCAACAUGUAAGGGAUAUAAACUUCUUUUACAAACUAUCGUGAAUAAAUUAAUAGUCUAAUACAAAAUUGUUACAAAUAAAAUCGAAUUUAGAUUCAAAAUUAACUUUUUCAAUGGUGGCGUGGACACUUUGUAAAUGUAAACUAUUCCUUUUACAAUACAAUAGUUAAGUCAGAGCAAAUCAAGAGCAAAUAUUAUAUUAGAUUAGAUUAAAUUAAAUAUAAAAAUUGUGAUUCACUGUGGGUAAUUAUAACAUCUAAAAAUAAAUAAAUAAAUAAAUUUAAGUUUAAAACAUUUAAUGAAUAUUAAAAUUAAAACAAAAUUUUUGGGUUAAUAGAAUUUAUCCGGUUUUUUUAACGUCCUAAAUAAAAAUUUAGGACUUUAAUUAGUUAAUUAGGCCCAAAAGUUUAAUAAUAUAAAUAUUUUGAUAUUUUUUAUUUUUACAAAUAUUUAUAAUUUUAUAAUUCAAAUUUUAUUAUUUAUUUACUAGUAAUUUUAAAAAAUUAAAAUAAAAUUAAAAAUUAAAAAGGGAAAAUGGGCAGGGGAUGAGGAUUCCACCUCAUCCCCGUCCCCUCCCGGAAUAAGAAAUUGGGUAAAAAAAUUUCUCUGUCCCUUCCCCGAAUAAGAAAUUGAGUAUAAAAUUAUCCUCAUACCCUCUCUGAAUGAGGAAAAUCCCCAAAGGUACCGGUCCCUGUGGGAAUUUUUGCCAUCCACCAUGUGACUCAAGGUCCACAUUAGAAAUACAACCUUGGUGGGGAACAUUUUGUUUAUUAAGAAAUAAUAAGAGUUGAGCAAGUGGUUAGAAGGGAAAAGAUUGGUUGAAGGCUACUUCCGUUGUUUUAUUGGAAGCAAUGUGUGAGACAGGGAUUUGUUUUCCCAUCUGCAAGUGGUCGAGAGGGAGAGAAUUGCCACUCGCUUGGGUUUGUUUCUUUUGCCUUUUUCUUAUCCAACCCCUUCGCCUUAUUCAACGAAAUGUGAAAAGAGUCUUUCUCUCUUUCUCACCGCCUAAUAAGUGUUGUUGGACGUACUAUGAGAGCAAUCGAUCCUAGCGCAUAGUCUCCAUGGUAAUAUGCAGGCUGUUUCUCUGUUUCUUAUAUUUGGAAUGUACUGGCAUGAAGGAUUAGCCUAAUUAUUUUUGAGUUGUCAGACGUUUAGCAUGUGCCUGUGAUGAUUGUUCGUUUUGCAGGAAGGUGUCUCUUCAACCAUUCAGUCAUUCUCUCAUUUAGCCAGAGACUCAUCUUUAGCUUAUUCCAGAGACUUUAACAAACAAUCACUAGGCAGUGAGGAAGGUUGGAAACUUAUAACAUCAAACAUUUUCUGAAAUGGUCUCAAAAGUCAACCUAAGACAACAUUUGGCUGUAGAUUAUGGUUAAAAUUUAGUUUUUACUGAUAUAUGUUGUAGGAUCAUUAGCUUAUCCAAAGAUCUUGUAAAAGUCAGCUGUUAAUAUUGUGUGACAAAUUAAAAGGUUGGAUAGCAAACACGAUAGACACAGUAAACAUUGUUCUAGACACCUGGUUGGCUGGCUAGCUAUUAAAAAUUUGCCACAGCAGAUGUUGCUGGUUUUGGCGGAACUGGUUUGCUGUUCUAGGCUUGGUUUUUAAUUGUAUCAUAGCAUCACAGACAGAGGGGGGGGGGGGGGGGGGGAAAUUAAUUUGAGCUCUUUAAGUACUGACAAGUAAGGCAUAUUUCUGCGAGGAAACUACAUGUUCUAUUAUGCACCAAAUCUCACAACAGAAUAAUCAGACUGCCGUAGUUGACCAUCACUAGAAGAGCUUACUUUGCAGAACUUGCUUUUAAGUUGGACAUAGUCUGUUCGUAGGAUGUUUUUUAUGUGAAUAUUACUGUGUGUUGACCUUGAAGUAUGUCAGUGCAGUUGCGGACAUUUUGCUGUGGUCCUGUGGAGUGAUGAGAAGAAAACAUUUACGUAAUUUACGUACUUCCUUGCUCUGGUUCUGUUAUUUUCUUGGUUUUUCCGUUGUGGAAGAAGCCAUGCUUCUUUUGCUGGUUUCUGCUGUCCCUUUUGGAUAUGGCAUUUUACCAUCAAACAUGUAAGUAUGGAUGGUCAUUAAGGCGCUUUGUAUAUCUUCUAUUGUUCCCUUGUGUGUACUACUUCUCCAAAAACAGCCAUGUUCCCCCCUCGUUCAACAUUUAUGUUAUUCACUUUUCGAAUGUAAAUGGAUGUACUUGUUCUAGUUAGAAAACUUAAAUUUUCACUAUUGUUUUUCCCCUUCACUCUUUAUAUGCUUGCAUGUCUAGGUCUCUGCUGGCAACCAUCCCUCACCAGUCACCCCACUAGAGUUCCCUUUAACAUAUGGCGGAAUUUGUUCUUUCUAAUUGCUUGUUAGAUUAUGCCAUUUCUUCAUAAUUUCUCAGUUCAUUGUCUAGAAUCUAGAGUAUUGCACGUGAAUUUGAUUUUCAAAUAAGCCUUCUCUUGAUUUUGAUGUAGUUACAUCAUUAAGCUCAUUUGUGUCAGAAGAUUAUUUAGUUCUACUGACUAUUUGACUUUUCUGUGCAAAUUUGGCUUCGAUGUUAAGUGCAUAGCUCCGUCUUGUUUUGAAAUUUUAGAACCACAAUAAAAGAUUCCAUGCAAGAAUAGCAUUUUUAAGGAACAUGGGGUUUCAGAGUAAAAGACUGUUGGCUAAAGCAGAUGAUUGGAAUAACUUGUUCAAGGUAUGCAGUGCAGAUUAUAUUAAAGUUUCCAGAGGUGGUCUUCCAAGCAAUUUUUAUGGUAACCAUUUCUUAACGAGUUAAGCAGGAAAUCAAGGUUUUUGUCCGAUAAUUGCACUUGUCAGCCUCAAAGUGACAUAUACUUGCUUUUGCUCUAUGCUCUUGAACUUGUUUCCUUUCCCGGUGAAAGCUUGGCCUUACACUGCAUUGAAAUUUCUACAGGUUGCAGGUUCUAUUUAUCUUUUCAAAUUGAUGUUGCAGUCUUCACUUGGUCAAUCGGUUUAGCUAAGCAACUCUUGAUCUUCCUAUCCCUCAGUGGUCCGAUUUGAUGUUCAAGGUUUUUCCAUUUUCAAAUUGAUAUUGUUCGAAACUCAAUGCAGCUCUGGCAUUUGCAUUCACUGCAUUCUUCGUCUUUGAGCAACAAGAAAUUGAUGGAUUAGCAAAAUUCUUAAUGACUACAAGAUCCAAUGAAUGAAUACAUGAGAGUUUCUUUUAGCUCGUUUUAGAUGCUUGUACAUGAUUUGUUCGCUCGAUUAGUUGCUUGUAUCAAAUUAAUUGCGAGAUGGUCGUGUCCCCAAGAAACGGAAAAAGAAAAAUAGAUUGGGGGUAUUUGGCUACAUUGACUUGGUGCAAAUUCAUAUCCUUUUAUUUUCAUUAACAGUUAAAACUAAUCAUUAUUAACACAUCUGUGACUGUAAACACAUGAUGUUGAAAUGGAAUUUGCUAGCCAAAUUCAGAAUUUACUAGCAAGCUUUUCUCACCAUUUGCUAACGUUUCUCAUUUUCAGUCUUCUCUUUUCCAUUUUUCUCAAAAUGGCUAGGUUAUCAAAAGCUGAAAAAAGAAAAAGAAAAAAGAAAAAUUGCAGCUUGUUAUUCUAUGUGCAGAGUGUUUAGGAAUACAUAAAUAGAUAAAAGAAGUAAGAGAGCAAUCAUCCUCUCAAUCAACGACGAUCAGCCAAAAUUAAGUUACAAUGUUCCAAUGUGAAUGACGUCAGGGCGUUUAUAUUGAAGUUAUGAUUAAACAAAUAUUCCAUAAAGACCGGAAUAUGAACUUCAAUAGAACUGUUCUUUUAAAGGCGCUGUCGUGUUUGAUUCUCCUUCAUCGAAAGGAAAGUGUUCAUCUCGAUUUCCAAAUCUUGUUUCUCUUAGCUUCUGAAGCAUAGACAGCACCUCAUUCAUAUUGGGACGAUCCUCAGGAUUUGAGGACGUACAAACUAAGGCCAGUUUAAACAGCUCUUCCAAUACUUGGUGCUGCUCCUGCUCUUCAUAAAUACUCAAAACCAGUUUGGGGUCCGUGAUUUGACGAACCCCGUUGAUUCCAUUUGCCAAAGCUUUCUCCACAAGUUGACGUAAGCUGAUAGGCGACAACCCAUUCUCUUCAUCCAGUCCUGUUGGCCUCCGUUUUGUCAAGAACUCCAUGACCACUAUACCAAAGCUAAACACAUCUACUUUAGUCGUGACUGUCCUCAUAUACGCAAACUCUGAUAAGAAAAGAACACAUAUAUGAUUAAGUACAAGACUUACAUAGAAAUUAAGACCUGUAAUAAGGAAACGCUGAUGAGCUCGAAAGAUUUACCUGGUGCCAAGUAGCCAAUAGUGCCUUGAAAAGCUGUUGAUAACGAGGAGAGGUCUUGCAGAUGAACAUCCAACAUUCGAGACGUACCAAAAUCGCUCACAUGAGCCUCAAAGUCUCUGUCUAAGAGAAUAUUGGAAGGCUUCAUGUCACAGUGAACAAUGGGGAUGUCAUAACCUGAAUGCAAAUAAUCCAACCCAUUGGCAACGGAAAUAAGAACAUCGAUUCUUUUGGGCAGCGUCCACCUUGAGUGAUCCACACCAGGUCCAUGUAUAACGCUUUCCAAGCUUCCAUUUUCCAUGUACUCCAGAAUCAAUGCCUUGAGUUUCCCACUUUCCCAAGCAUAUCCCAGCACCUUAACCAGAUUCCUGUGCUUCAGCUCCUUUAAGGUUUUGGCCUCGCGGUAGAAGCUCUUGUCAGACUCUGCAGAGAAUUGGUGGAAAUUCAGUUUUUUCACUGCUACGAUCUCCCCAUCUUCUAGUCGACCCUUGUAAACAGUACUCAAAUUGCUGUUACCAAUAAUAUUGUUCUCACUGAAGGAGCCCGUAGCAUUUUCUAUUUCUGUUCGAUCAAACCUUCUAAGUGUCGUUGCGGAAAUGAACUCUGGUUCUUGGGCCUCAACCCUUUCUGACUUCCUCCUUUUGCCAUAUCGAUAUCGACUGAGUGCUAACGUCAGUAGCACGAGACCUAGAAUCAGAACAACAGCAACUGAGCAGCCAAGUACCAACUUUGUCCUCUUGGACAAAUGGUGGGAGUUUUUCCUCGUUGAGCUGCAUGUUCUGAGAGUUUUUGUUCCGCACAGAGCUGGGUUUCCAUCCAAAUUAGACAUGUUAAUGCUUCUGAAUAUGCCGGAUUCAGGAAUACGGCCUUCAAGUUGAUUGAAAGAAAGGUUCAGUUGUUUCAAGGAGGAAAGAUUGGCCAGGCUUUCAGGGAUGAUGCCUGUCAACUUGUUGUGAGAAAGGUCCAACGAGCUAAGAUGCUUCAAAUUUACCAACUCUUCAGGAAUUUCACCGUCUAACCCAUUUUUUGAAAGGUUCAAGCUCAUAAGCAUAUCCAUUCGACCAAAAACUUCAGGAGGGAUUGCACCAGAAAGUUUAUUUCCUGACAGAUCAAGAGAGAACAGAUUUCUGCAGCCUUGAAGCAUUUUAGGAAUUUUCCCUGAGAGGUUAUUGUUUGAAAUGUCAAUGGCUUGUGCCAUUUCCAGCUUACCAAGCUCAUCUGGAAUACUUCCCUCCAGGAAAUUGUAUGAGAAGUUCAAAUAUAUUUGUAUGCUCCCCAUACCUGCAAUCGUAGGUCCUGGAAUGGAUCCUGUUAAAUGGUUGUGAGAGAGAUCCAGGGUCAAAAGUCGAUGAAGACUCUCCAUGCUUAUUGGUAUUGACCCGUUAAGAUUGUUGCCUUGGAGGUUCAAGUAUGAAAGCAACCCAAGAUUUGAGACAGCAUUUGGAAUUGGACCUGUCAACUUGUUUUGCUGCAAAUCAAGAUAGGUUAGCUGCUUCAGUUCAAAUAGUCUGUCAGGCAUUGCACCUUCUAGACGGUUGUGAUGCAAAGAGAGUCCUUGAAGGUGAGAAAGCUUGGAUAACUCUGAUGUAAUAGGACCUGUGAAACUAUUUUCAGCAAGAGACAAGGUCAUGAGUUGGCUCAGAUUGCCGAUCUCUUGUGGUAUUGGCCCAAUAAAGGAAUUUGUUCGGAUUUUCAUAAUCUUGAGAUUAUUUAGCUUUCCGAUUCCUGGUUUCAGCAGUCCACUGAAAUUGUUUUCACUCAGAUCGAGAAUUUCAAGAUUUGAGCAAUUGAAAAGAUCAUCGGGGAUUUCUCCGGACAUACCAUUUGAUGACAAAGAUAGGAAUGUAAGGUUUUGCAUCUUUCCUAAACCAGUGGGAAUUCUCCCAGUAAUCCUAUUGAAUGCCAGACCUAUGGAUGCGAGAUGGGUACAGUUUGUGAUACUAGAUGGAAUGGUUCCCUCAAGAAGAUUGUUAUUCAUGGUCAGAUUUUCGAGGUUAUAAAGCAACCCGAUGUUUGAUGGAAGCUUCCCUGUUAAGGAAUUGAAGCUCAUUGACAAAUAUGUUAAAUUUGUCAGGUUUGUCAAUGAAGAAGGG